CAAAAGGACAAAUAAUGAAUGAUUUCAUUUAUAUGAGCAGGUCCCAGCUGUCAUGGGGCUCCAGGGAAAGGAAGCCCAAGACCUCACAAAUGAGGUAUUAACCCUUGGGAUGAUCUGGCUUCCUGCAGAACCUAGAAUUUCCACAACCCCAGCAGGCCAAAACCUUUUGGGCUUCAAGAAGGGGAGUGAGGUAAUAAAACAAGUCAGUUGAAUAGGAGGCGACUCCCAACCCAGGUAAGAGCCACCUCCUGUAUUUUCACCCUUUCAGCCUCUGGCCACUGUAACUGGAAGCUCCUCCCAC
rnacentral:lncRNA from 1 species